rnacentral:lncRNA from 1 species
AUACAACAGCAGCAGAAGAAGAGGAUGAAACAGAUACUUGUUUAAUGAGUGUUUCCAAAGGCGUCUUUAAAUUGAAAAAGUUACUCGAUUUUCCAUUGCCUCCACCAGUUUUCAAAUCCGUUUUAACAAAAUCAUUAAAGAGAUCCUUUGAUUUUAAUUUGUCACCUGGAUUUAUAUUUUUAAAACAAUCAAAUAUGUAUUCUGGUAUCUAAUAAUUUUUAAGUUAUUAAAAUUUAGAAUAUAUUCAAUUUGAAAUACCUACAAUCUACAACAUUUCUGUGUUUUUAUUUUUAGCUUUAGCUGACACUUUUUUAUCUAUAUAUACAGAGGAAUAUCGACUUCGUAUUCUGACUCACUAUCUUUGCCUAACUUCUUUUUACCUUCAAAAUCAUCUGAAAUGGAGCAAUCAAAAUU